GAACUGCGAUAAGUAAUGUGAAUUGCAGAAUUCAGUGAAUCAUCGAGUCUUUGAACGCACAUUGCGCCCCCUGGCAUUCCGGGGGGCAUGCCUGUCCGAGCGUCAUUGCUGCCCUUCAAGCCCGGCUUGUGUGUUGGGUCGUCGUCCCCCCCGGGGGACGGACCCGAAAGGCAGCGGCGGCACCGUGUCCGGUCCUCGAGCGUAUGGGGCUUUGUCACCCGCUCGAUUAGGACCGGCCGGGCGCCCGCUGGCGUCAAACCCCAAUCUUUCUAAGGUUGACCUCGGAUCAGGUAGGGAUACCCGCUGAACUUAAGC
rnacentral:misc_RNA from 1 species